UGUCCCUCUUGCUGUCAUCUCAUGAAGUUGAGAAAGCCAUAUGGCACAAAGGAGUCAGCCUGGUGAGUAUGCCUGUACUUUUUGUUAGUCUAUAGGGGAAAACUGUUAUCAUUUAUUUUUAUGCAUUAUAUCAGGGUAAUAUGUCUAAACUGGAGCAAGUGAUGUAGGCUACUGAUGGAUUUGAUAUAUCAUAGACAAGUAUGAACAUAUUCACCAUAGGCUUUCCUUGCUUGAUAACUUUGUGUAGCUAUAUUGGCAUGGCAUGUUUUGACCACUGCUGUCUACUCAAAAAUAACCUCAAUAUUUAAUUGUCAGGAUAUGCCGAGAUUCUUGUCACAAAAGGAAAUCAGUCACCAGGUCCAUCCGAAAUGGUUCUCUGUUUGAAAAUUCUCAUGUUGGGCUGCACACAUGGAUGCAUUUCAUAUACAGAGGGUCUGGUCUGGUCUGAGAAAGGAUUAUGCAUCAGCAAAGAAAAUGGGCUUAAGAUACGGUAAUCAAUGACAAUUUAAGAAAUUGACUUCAACAGCCACCUCUAAAUUUCAGAAUUUUGAUUUAUCUAUUGCAGGUUUGCUCAAGGUCUUCGUUUGCGGCAAGUGGACAUGCUACAGGAAGGGAUAACUGGGAGCUCUGCAACCCUGAGCAAACUUGCUGACAAGAUGCGGAGAGUUUGCAAAUCUGCGAUGAAGAGAAUGAGGAGGAGAGGCAAACAAGCUGUUGGAAGAAGAGGAGAACUCGUUAUGAUCGAUGAAAGCAAAUUUGGCCAUAAAAGAAAGUAUAACAGAGGACGGGCCUGUAACCGAAGUUCAUGGGUGUUCGGAAUGCUAGGCCUCAAGGAUGACAGAAGGAGACCCAUUCUUAAGAUUGUGCGCCACCGUUAAGCAGGCCAUCUCAUGCCCCUUAUAAAGAAGCAUGUUCGACGGGGCAGCUCCAUUAUUUCAGAUGGAUGGAGGUCUUAUCACCAUCUUCAGAAUGAAGGUUAUAAUCAUCUGACUGUGAACCAUCAGGAAUAUUUUGUCGACCCCAUUACAGGUGCACAUACACAGAACCUGGAACGUCUUUGGGGUGUUUGCAAGUCAACUAUAUGGAGACUAAGAGGGAACCGCACUCAAAAUAUGUUGAAAGAUCACUUAGAUGUAAUUGAGUGGACCUACUGGCGUGGAAACCAAUACAAAGAUGGACCACUAGGAAUGCUGUUACAUGACAUUAAGAAAAAAUAUCCUGUGAGAAAUGCAUGAGUCCUGUACUAUACUGUUCAUAAUGCGAGUUGAUACAACCAUUACAUUUUUUUUGGAUUGAUUCACUCUGGAUGUCUUCUUUACAUUUUUGGAAUUUAAAACUUUGUAGAAGGGAAGGGAACUAUAAGCAUAUUAAAGAUUUGUAUGCUAUCUCGUAUUCAUUACAUUAAUAAAAGAGAUAUUUGU